rnacentral:misc_RNA from 1 species
UCACUACUUGCGUAGGCAGUCUUCUUAGAGUGCUCGACAUUACUCGGUGGCAACUAAGAACAAGGGUUGCGCUCGUUGCGGGACUUAACCCAACACCUCACGGCACGAGCUGACGACAGCCAUGCAGCACCUGUACAAGUUCCCCUUGCGGGACCUCCGGCUUUCACCAGAGAUUAACUUGCGUUUCAAGCCCAGGUAAGGUUCUUCGCGUUGCUUCGAAUUGAACCACAUGCUCCACUGCUUGUGCGGGCCCCCGUCAAUUCCUUUGAGUUUCAACCUUGCGAUCGUACUCCCCAGGUGGAAUACUUAACGCGUUAGCUACGAUACUGCGGUUUAACCCGCAACAUCUAGUAUUCAUCGUUUAGGGCAUGGACUAC